rnacentral:antisense_RNA from 1 species
CUUCAUGGCGGAUCGCGCGGGGAGGCCUUCAUGGUCUGCCGGGUCCUAGCUCCGGUCUGUCAACCCCGCGUGAUCCGCCACCCUU